rnacentral:rRNA from 1 species
UACAGAGGGUGCAAGCGUUGUUCGGAAUUACUGGGCGUAAAGCGCGUGUAGGCGGUUUAAUAAGUCAGAUGUGAAAUCCCUCAGCUUAACUGAGGAACUGCAUCUGAUACUGUUAAACUUGAGUAUCGGAGGGGAUGGCGGAAUUCCUGGUGUAGAGGUGAAAUUCGUAGAUAUCAGGAGGAACACCUGUGGUGAAGGCGGCCAUCUGGAAGAUUACUGACGCUGAGACGCGAAAGCGUGGGGAGCAAACAGG